rnacentral:rRNA from 1 species
AGAGUUUGAUCCUGGCUCAGGACGAACGCUGGCGGCGUGCCUAAUACAUGCAAGUCGAACGCUUCUUUUUCCACCGGAGCUUGCUCCAUCGGAAAAAGAGGAGUGGCGAACGGGUGAGUAACACGUGGGUAACCUGCCCAUCAGAAGGGGAUAACACUUGGAAACAGGUGCUAAUACCGUAUAACAAUCGAAACCGCAUGGUUUUGAUUUGAAAGGCGCUUUCGGGUGUCGCUGAUGGAUGGACCCGCGGUGCAUUAGCUAGUUGGUGAGGUAACGGCUCACCAAGGCGACGAUGCAUAGCCGACCUGAGAGGGUGAUCGGCCACAUUGGGACUGAGACACGGCCCAAACUCCUACGGGAGGCAGCAGUAGGGAAUCUUCGGCAAUGGACGAAAGUCUGACCGAGCAACGCCGCGUGAGUGAAGAAGGUUUUCGGAUCGUAAAACUCUGUUGUUAGAGAGGAACAAGGAUGAGAGUAACUGUUCAUCCCUUGACGGUAUCUAACCAGAAAGCCACGGCUAACUACGUGCCAGCAGCCGCGGUAAUACGUAGGUGGCAAGCGUUGUCCGGAUUUAUUGGGCGUAAAGCGAGCGCAGGCGGUUUCUUAAGUCUGAUGUGAAAGCCCCCGGCUCAACCGGGGAGGGUCAUUGGAAACUGGGAGACUUGAGUGCAGAAGAGGAGAGUGGAAUUCCAUGUGUAGCGGUGAAAUGCGUAGAUAUAUGGAGGAACACCAGUGGCGAAGGCGGCUCUCUGGUCUGUAACUGACGCUGAGGCUCGAAAGCGUGGGGAGCAAAAAGGAUUAGAUACCCUGGUAGUCCACGCCGUAAA